GGGAGAGGAGGGGACGCCAGCAGGGCUCCCGGAGCUUGCCUUCGUGUAGGGUGAGGGCUGGACCGUGGCCUCGUGGCGCUCGCACGCUCCCUGCUCCAGCCGGACACCCACAGCCUUUGUGUGCACCCGUCCCAGGCCUGGCAGCAGCGUCCCAUGCCCCAACACCUCGGCCCCCACAUCACCUGGCAAGGUCCCUGCUAUUUCUGCCUCUAGUUUUGUACCCCCAUGCACCUCCCGCAGGGCUGGGCACAUAGCAGGUGCUCAAUAAAGACUUGUGCAAUGAAAAAAAAAGAAGAAAA